GACGAACGCUGGCGGCGUGCUUAACACAUGCAGGUCGUACGGUAAGGCCCUUUCGGGGGUACACGAGUGGCGAACGGGUGAGUAACACGUGAGUAACCUGCCCACAACUUUGGGAUAACGCUAGGAAACUGGUGCUAAUACUGGAUAUGUGCUCCUGCUGCAUGGUGGGGGUUGGAAAGCUCCGGCGGUUGUGGAUGGACCCGCGGCCUAUCAGCUUGUUGGUGGGGUAGUGGCCUACCAAGGCGGCGACGGGUAGCCGGCCUGGGAGGGUGACCGGCCACAUUGGGACUGAGAUACGGCCCAGACUCUUACGGGAGGCAGCAGUGGGGAAUAUUGCACAAUGGGCGCAAGCCUGAUGCAGCAACGCCGCGUGCGGGAUGACGGCCUUCGGGUUGUAAACCGCUUUCAGCAGGGACGAAGCUUUUUGUGACGGUACCUGCAGAAGAAGCACCGGCUAACUACGUG
rnacentral:rRNA from 1 species